rnacentral:rRNA from 1 species
AUUGAACGCUGGCGGCAGGCCUAACACAUGCAAGUCGAGCGGAUGAAGGGAGCUUGCUCCUGGAUUCAGCGGCGGACGGGUGAGUAAUGCCUAGGAAUCUGCCUGGUAGUGGGGGAUAACGUCCGGAAACGGGCGCUAAUACCGCAUACGUCCUGAGGGAGAAAGUGGGGGUUCUUCGGACCUCACGCUAUCAGAUGAGCCUAGGUCGGAUUAGCUAGUUGGUGGGGUAAAGGCCCACCAAGGCGACGAUCCGUAACUGGUCUGAGAGGAUGAUCAGUCACACUGGAACUGAGACACGGUCCAGACUCCUACGGGAGGCAGCAGUGGGGAAUAUUGGACAAUGGGCGAAAGCCUGAUCCAGCCAUGCCGCGUGUGUGAAGAAGGUCUUCGGAUUGUAAAGCACUUUAAGUUGGGAGGAAGGGCAGUAAGUUAAUACCUUGCUGUUUUGACGUUACCAACAGAAUAAGCACCGGCUAACUUCGUG